AAAUCGAUUAAUGUUUUUGGUAAGCUGCAAAAUUUGGACUGUAAAGUGUAUGAUUUAUGUGCCCUCGAUAUUUUUGGGCUUAAUGGGCCAAAAUUGGAAUGAUGGGCCAACGGGCCCAAUUCGGUAAUCCCCAACCAUAGUGGGCUUGGAGCUGUGAGGGAAUUCGGAGUGGCCACCCGUUCUGAAAGUUUGAUUUUCUUCUGGUGAACUGGACAUCCUUUUAUUUACGUUUGAAGUUUUGGGUUUUUAAAUGUAAUAAGGCCGCUUAAUUA